CAAAUAUUUCCUUAACACGAAGCCAGAUUCAACAGUAAUCAAAAACUCCAAACCCUAAGAUUAAAAAAGACAUCACAUAGUCCAAAAACAAAAAGAAGAAGGAAGAACAGAGGAAGGGAAAGAGAGUUUAAAGAGUAAGAAAAGGCUUAUCUCGAUCGUGUCAGAGGAGACUUCAUCGCCGGACCGGCUCCGAUCAAGUAGUCUUUUU
rnacentral:lncRNA from 1 species